UAAAUACUCCCUCCGUCCGCAAAUACUUGUCAUCAAAAUGAAUAAAAGGAGAUGUAUCUAGAUUUAUUUUAGUUCUAGAUACAUCUCUUUUUAUCCAUCUUGAUAACAAGUAUUUUCGGAUGGAGAGAGUACCAA
rfam:Triticum aestivum genome assembly, contig: Triticum_aestivum_CS42_TGACv1_scaffold_425278_5BS